ensembl:lncRNA
GUACACAGUUAUAUAUCUUAGUUGCACGUCCUUCCAGUUGUGAAAUGUGAGACGCUGCCUCAAUGUGGCCUGACAAGCAGUGCCAUGUCCACGCCCAGGAUCCAGAACCCUGGGCUGCUGCAGCGGAGCGUGCAAACUUAACCACUCGGCCACGGAACCGGCUCCAAGGAAAUUUUCUCACAUUAACUUAGAAACUAGUGUCCAGAGAAUAUCAAGAAACCCAAUCUUCCCAGGCCCAACUCCUCAGCUUCCUGACGUCAGAGUCUGCCUUCCACCAUGGAGACAAACAGCCAAAGACGCUCAUCUGAGAAAUCCUUUCUCUCCUCCCCUGGAAGCAGCCCAGACACAGGCCGAUGGGAAAACGCUGACCAAGAAGUCUAUGGCGCUCCUCCCCUACCUAAAACCCCAAAUAAAAACUCCUACCCGUUUCUUAGUGGGAAGCAAGCAAGUUUAGGGGCACCGGCCCUCUGCUUUGCUCCCUCUGCCUGGCAAAGUAAAGCUUUCCUUUCUCUCCCAAGACGGUGAUCUCAUUAUUUGGAUUGACAUUGGGAUCAGAGACCGAACUUCUGGUCACAGUAGUGGCAGAGAGAGAGGAGUUCAGUUUCGAACAUUUAAACUGCAGGUGACUGUUGGGCAUCCAAGUAGAGAUGGAGAGAAGGCUGUUCGGUAUGAGUCUGGAUUUCAGAAGAGAGGUCCAGGAGGGAGAUAUAAAUGAGGGAAUCACAGCAAAUAGAGGGUUUAUCAUAUGAUGAGAUUAGAUGAAAUUUCCUAAGGACUGAAUAUUAAUUUUGCAAGGAGAUCCCAAAGGACCAAGAACUAGAAAACGCCAACAUUAAGAGGUCAGAAAAUAAACAGGCAACAGCAAAGAGACUGAGAAUGUGUGCAGAGAGGUAGGAGAAAAACCCAGAGAGUGUGAUGCUUCGAAUGUCAAGAGAAAAAAAAAAAGAAUGCUUUGAGAGGAGAAAGUCAGCUAAUCAAUUCAAUGAUAUUGACAGGUCAAGUAAAAAAAAAAGGGGGUUUAGAGCACAG